GACGAACGCUGGCGGCGUGCCUAAUACAUGCAAGUAGAACGCAGUUGCGAACGGUUGAGUAACGCGUAGGUAACCUGCCUCAUAGCGGGGGAUAACUAUUGGAAACGAUAGCUAAUACCGCAUACUUUGAGAUGGACGUGCUUUGGAUUAGCUAGUGGGUGGGGUAACGGCUCACCAAGGCGACGAUACAUAGCAGACCUGAGAGGGUGAUCGGCCACACUGGGACUGAGACACGGCCCAGACUCCUACGGGAGGCAGCAGUAGGGAAUCUUCGGCAAUGGACGAAAGUCUGACCGAGCAACGCCGCGGGAGUGAAGAAGGUCUUCGGAUCGUAAAACUCUUUUGUUAGAGAAGCGGUAUCUAACCAGAAAGCCACGGCUAACUACGUGCCAGCAGCCGCGGUAAUUC
rnacentral:rRNA from 1 species